UACGUAGGGUGCGAGCGUUAAUCGGAAUUACUGGGCGUAAAGCGUGCGCAGGCGGUUCGUUAUGUCCGUUGUGAAAGCCCCGGGCUCAACCUGGGAAUGGCAAUGGAAACUGGCGGGCUAGAGUGUGGCAGAGGGGGGUGGAAUUCCGCGUGUAGCAGUGAAAUGCGUAGAGAUGCGGAGGAACACCGAUGGCGAAGGCAGCCCCCUGGGCUAGCACUGACGCUCAGGCACGAAAGCGUGGGGAUCAAACAGG
rnacentral:rRNA from 1 species